rnacentral:snRNA from 1 species
GGAUAAUUUGCUCUUUAAUAUUUAUCUAGCAGGUUUCUCAUAAUGAGAAGCCCCU